rfam:TPA: Bos taurus chromosome 3, whole genome shotgun sequence.
UCACUACUGGCUCAGACGGUAAAGCGUCUGCCUGCAAUACGGGAGACCCAAGUUCGAUCCCUGGGUUGGGAA